AUUCUUGUCCUUUGAAUGGUUGCACGUGUUGGAUUUGUGAGAUUUUUACUUUGGCAGUUUGAGAAUAAAAAUUGUGUUGCCCAGUCUUGACCAGCAGGAUACAUGAACCAGAACUGGUUUUGCUACCAUGGUGGCUCAGUGCAUGUACUCUUGUGGUACAAAUACGUGUUCAGAUUCACAUUUAUUUUCUGAAAGGCUUUAUGCACUUACAUUUAGUUUUCAUUUCCCGUGAAUGUUUGUUCUGUUAGAAUGUUAUGUUUAAGUCAAAGAAUGUGCAGGGUGGUACGGGUUGGCCCAAAGUGUAGUCACUGCAAAUCAAAUAUGGAAAUGAAAAGGAUUGCUAAUCCCACAGUUCCAUGGACCAUAUUCCUUGUACCGGGUGAGAGACAUUUGCCUGUCUUGCACCUGCUCUGUGGAUGUCAGUAUCUUUGCCUGUCCAUCUGACGAUUUUUACCAAUGUAGUACUCCUAGAAAACACGAAAACCUGAGCUUUGAGAAAACUAUUUCAAUUUAUACCAUCCAGAAUCCCAGGUUAGUAUUAACGCUCUUUGUGGGUAUGCACUGUAAUAAAACCAGGAGUCCCGGAUGAGAUCAGGCCUCCGUCACUGUUGCAGGUGUUUUACAUACUGUAAAAUAGAAUUGCCAUCUUGGGAAGCUUACAGUUAAAUGGGCAAGUCGAGCGAAAGGUGAGAGGAACAAAAUACAAUUCCCACCACAGUGACUGCAGGCUAAGGCGCAGAAAGGUUUCGUGACUUGAUCAGGGUAAUCCAGGGAAAGGAAAGAGCAGUUUUCAGAAGCAACUAACUCCCACUAAAGCAAGCAUGGGAGUGAUGUGCCAACCUGCCAUUUGUGCCUUUGAAUAUUUCCCCAGGGAGUCCAUUGUAGAGCGAAGCACUGAACUCUGAUCUUCAGUCCCCCACCAGACAACCCCUCUUUUCUGCUUUAAAUGUUUUUAAUUGAAAAAUACCAUCUGAACAGUGUCUGUAAAGAAUUACUUUUCCUCAGAACCUCCAAAAGAAAAGGAAACUGAUGUGCUGUGGCAAUAAACUAACCCACGAUCAAAAUAAAAACCACAGUCAUGUUAUGAAAACCAGAACUGGUGGGUAAAUACUGUGAAUUUAUGACACCACUGAAAAAAAAAAUCCACUUUGGUAAAUGUUAACACUAUUAGAACUAAAGAAGUUUUUAAUUACUAAACUAUUCCAAACUCUUCUUAGCAGACUUUACAUGCAAAAGCUACUAAAAAAAAAAGAAAGAAAGCAGAAGUAGAAAUUCACCCCUUGCUUUUCUGCAGGCACUAUUUAUAUCUGUGUUGGUGUUUGUUUCAGAGAAGAGAAUAAAACUGAAGCCCACAUGACCCUAUCUUACUCUCCCUGAACAGCAAUAACACUUCUCUUUUUUUUAAGGAAUUGUAUGUAUAUUAGCUCUUGUUGCUUCAUGAGGAGGUAGGCACUCUCCUCGUUUUACAGUUUGGAAAACAAUGGCAGAACUCAAGGUUAUCCCAGUCCAGAGAAACUGUUAAGAGUCAGAUUACACUGCUGGAGUGACCCAUGUUCAGGCCACUCCAACACGUCCCCAAAUAAUAUUUUACAAGCAGGAGCCAUCUGUGUGUGAUGAGAUCAGAUGUAAGGAAGUCUGUAGUUGCCAAGAGUAUUUCAGUGAGCAGAGUUAUACGACUACAAAGAAAUCCUACAGCAUCAACAAAGGAAGCUAAAAGAAAUAUUCCCACUGAGCUCUUUUGGACUAUUUUAAUCUGUCUGUUUGUUCUUGUAGUAUUUUAAGGGAUCGUUCUUCCUUUUGCACACCUAACUGUUGCUGACGGUAUUGCAACCUUCAUGUUUGUUAUUAGUAGUCUCCAAAAUGGACUAUCCCAUGUUUUCUGAAAACAAGAGCGAAGUAUGAUUUCUGCUGUGCCUCCCUGUGCACCUGUUAGGAUUAACCAGCCUUUCUGACCAGGCUGCAUCAUAACGCACCUUUCCUCCCAUAACAAACAUGCACAAAAGUACUCCCCAAAAUACCCCUGCUAGAAUUCUCUAUCCACUUCUGACCAUGGGGUUCUGGCCGUGUGUGGACCUUAAAGGUAUGAUGGAAUGGGCUCAUUGCCUAUGCCUUCCUGCUUUUAUUUGUUUUAUGAAGUACUUCACAAAAGCAAAUAAAUAACAAAGGAUAGGAUAUUCAGAAGCUCUCAGCAUCAGUCUAGCGCUUCUCCCUUUGAAGACAACGGGGACUUGACUUGACUGGAGAUGGAAUUAAGCCAACACUGAGAAUUUUCAACAAUUCCAGUCAUAGCCUCUCCCCAGAGAACUUAGGAUCUAACAAAAAGCAUUAAUUGAUUAAUGCUCAAGUUGCCCAAUGGAUAUUAAUCUUUAGCUCUCAAGAACAACUCUGAUUUUGGAACAAAAAGUCUCCUGAGUUUUCGUUUUGAUUACUAUGAGUUAAGUUUCCUCCCGGUUUGUUUUAUUAGAAAAGAGUAUUUAUUUGACUGCGGUACGCUACCUAAAAUUGUUAUAAUUUCUUUCCUUAUUUCCAUAAACAUAACUGUGUUUAUUUUGGAAGGAUGGUUACUUAAAACGAAAUACAAAGUCAUUUAAAAAUAUAUUGGUUAUCUCCCAUAUUUAAUUUUCCCUUGUAGUCUCUCUCUAUAAUUUUUCUAUAGCUCCAAUUUUAAAAAGUAGGGAAGAGGAGGGGCGGGACGUUUGAAUCUAUUUUCAAGAUGGCAUAUCGGACCACACGCACUUACAGGGUAGAGCACAUUUGUUAUUUUGGGCAGUACUGUGGAAUUUAUGAGAAGCUUUCUUUUUUUAUACAAAGUUAGUUCAGAGUAGAUUAAAGUUUAUUUCAAACUCAGCAUAUUUGACCUCAAGCAUCAUAAGAGUCAUGUAGAAUUGGCUCAUGCUAUUAAAUUCCUACAGCGAACUCCAUAAUAAUGAUUAAUUUCUUUCAUAAACUCUUUUCAUAAUUAAUACAGGUUUCAUUGUGGGCACUGCUAUCCUCAUAUUGAUUAUCUCUACAAUUUAGAUUGGCCUCGUGAAACGAUGUCUUUGUUUACUCUGAUGACCAGACAUUUAUUUUAUUUGAAUAACUCUCAUCAUUUGCAAGUUGAACUGGGGAUAUCGCCGUCAUAGAUAUUACAAAUAUUUCAGAGCUGUUUCAUGCAAGAGAAGGGAUAAUUUUUUGGCACCUGAGAUUAAUAAUACUUUGGUGUUCUCUGAUGCCUCUCAUCUGAGAAUAUGGUGCCGGGAGAAGUUGCAGCAACCAACAGAAGGCAGUCUGCAAAAGACCACUGAGAGAAGUGGGAAUUCCCAUUUUUGAGAUGAAUUCAGCAACCCUGCUGCUGCUAGACCUACAGGCAGGGAGGGGAGAUGUGGAUGGAACACGCAGCACGUAUGGCAGAAUUAGUGCAUGUGGUACAACAUCCCCAUGCCUGAGGACAGGGAGUGCAGCUAAGGACACGGUGGAGUUUACAAGAGUACUUCACAUGUUGAGAUGCUUUAUAGUCCCCCCUGUGACUAGCCUAGCAAAAACCAUAUGUGAAAUAUAAAUAUACUGGGACUUAAAAAUUGAGUUGUAUUCCAGCCUUUUAAGUUAAUUUUAUAACAUGCUGCAUCCGGGGGCUUAAUGUGUUCUGUAAUGUGGUGCUAGCUGAGUAGCACCACAUAAAUGUGGUAUGUACUGGAGGCACUAGACGGUCUGAUGGAAGAGGAUAUGGAAAAGAGAAAGGUAGAUGGUAGAAAUAACAUAUUUUAGUGAAAGAAGGAAUCCAUUUUAAACCAACUGGCUGUUUGCUUCCUUCAGCCCAAUGCAACAAUGAACUCCUGUUGUCAUGCUGAGUCAGUUGGCAGUGACUCAUUUUAUCAGUCUCAAAAUUGUCCAGCAUUUCAUCAGAACUGGAUUACACAAUGGGUUUUUCCUUUUCCCCCUCUUUUUUUUUUCCCCCCAAUACACUUGUAAUAUUAAUAGGCACACAAAUCAUCUGAUGUUAACAUGUUUCCUCAUUAACUUUUACUUUUUUAAUUAUAGGAUUGGUAAUCAUACAACUUCCCAAAGAGGGAAAUACAGAAAUCCCAAAUCUGACUUGAAAUUGUAAAGUACGAACUUUCUUAGUUAUUCACUUCUCUCUGUUAAAAAUAAAUUAAAGUCCUUUGUUACUUUCCACAGGAUACUGGCAUAGCUAACAUAUGCUCACAAUUGUUCAGCUGAGGUAUGUGUCCUCUAUUGGGUGUGGAGAGAAAAUUUGUAUGUGGAAACAGCAGCCAACGUGUCAGGGAUGAUUUUUGUCCACAGCAGGGCUUUUUCAGCCAUUUCUUCAAAAGCCUCUUGGAAAAAACACUCAAAUGUGGUAUUUUAUUCACUGAAACACUGCACAUGCGAUAUGAUUUAUUUAUGGGCAUAUUUAUUCCUUAAACACACACAAAAAAGCGUGUUAUGUAAAAUAUAAAGGGAGUGGUUCUGUAAUUAAAGCUUAAGAACAUUCUCCUGGUCUUCAUAGACUGAAAACGUUGGGUCUGUCAGGUUUGUAACUAACUCAGCGGAUCAGUGCACUUCACCAGAUUCUUUGAUUUUAGCACCUAUGCUGUUACACAGUUUCAAUCACAGUGAUAUGAAUAAAUUGAAAAUGUGUAAAAAGUGAUGCUGAGUUGGCUGGACAGCAACGCAUCUGUUCUAAAAUCCAGCAUUUCUAAGUCAACCAUCUUGUCUGCCCUAACAAAACAUCUGUAUUUUCCACCCACAUGAUUAAAUUAAUUGUGUUCAAUCAAAUCCACUUUCUAAUUGUAGAUUUAAGGCAAAAGGGUGGAUCUUCAGUUUUUAAUCUGAGAAAAUCCAAACUGUUUGGAAUAUGCUCCGUUUCUGUCCCAACCUAUACACCCUAUUCUGGGCUUAAUCCCAUCUGUCUGUGUUUGGACUCAGUCCUGAUGGCUGGGAAAUGGAAAGCUUCCAAGUGUCUUUGAAUAAUUUUUUAAUUUUGUUCUUCAGUGGUUCUAGCUCUUUGUUGUUAAUUAGAUCAAACAGUGUCUCCACCGAGGAUGUAACGGUAGUGUCAUCAGCCUGUAAUCUGUCAGGUCCCUCUGAAACCUCCUUCAACUGCUUUUGUAAAUUUAGUACCUCUCUGCAAAGUUCCUCGCUGAGUAAAAUGUGUGCUAUUUUUUUUU
rnacentral:lncRNA from 1 species